CGCGUAGGUGGUUAGGCAAGCGAGAUGUGAAAGCCCCGGGCUUAACCUGGGAACGGCAUUUCGAACUGUCUGACUAGAGUAUGGUAGAGGGUAGUGGAAUUUCCUGUGUAGCGGUGAAAUGCGUAGAUAUAGGAAGGAACACCAGUGGCGAAGGCGGCUACCUGGACCAAUACUGACACUGAGGUGCGAAAGCGUGGGGAGCAAACA
rnacentral:rRNA from 1 species